UGGGUGGGUGGGUGGAUGGAUGAAGGAUGGAGAGAUGAACAGAUCAUUGAGGAAGUGCUAUCUAGUCUCCAUCUUCCAUUAAGCACCUACUAUGCAUCACGCACAAUGCAAAGAGCUUUGCCAACUGUGACCCUGAUGGAAGUCAGUCUUGUUAACCAUGUGGAGGCCUGUGGUUGGAACAGAAUCACAGUGAACUAGUCUGCUAGGCAAAUGACUUUGGGAUCUCUUUGGAAACGACCCCUUCUGCUGCCUUCCCAUGAUGACAGUUUUCUCCCACAAGCCCUGAAAAUAUUUAUGUUCAUAACAGCCUCCUCCAACAGCAACAGAAAUGGGGGCUGGGCAUGUCGCCUUCCCUCUGGGGUCUUAAUGCAGCCCUGGGGUGGAUGAGAGGAGGCUGAGGCUCCACACUUCCUGAUCAGGUGAGAAAAUUUCUGCCUCUAACUCAGCAUUUUCAGGGUGCAGAGUCAGCCAGGCAGGAAGUUUGCUGCUGCUGCCAGCUGGUGCCCCUAGGGCUGACCACGUGCCAGGGACCGGUCUCUGCAUGGCACUCAUGACCUGCCUACCACAGGAGGCAGGCAUUAUUACUGCUCUCGUUGUACAGAUGUGGUCACUGAGGCCUGGAGAGCUGACAAAGCCUGCCAGCUAGAAGGUGCUGGAGCGGGGAUAGGUCUAGGGCCUGGACUCUUAACCACUGCAUGGUACCCUGGGCCCCCACAGCAAGGGCGAUGUCAGUUAAGUGGGGGGCUGUAGCUGGGGUAAGGGCAGAUCCCCCAAAGGCGGCAUCGCAGGCUUUCUCUCCCACAGCUGUCCAUGAUGGGAUAUGGGUUAUUAUGGUGAUGAGGUAGAAUUGGUUGGGACUGGAGAAGUCAGCAAUGGGUUGGGGAGACCCAUUCAUAAGAUUCUCAGAGGGCAUUGUCCUCUCUGGGUGAGCCCUGGGAUGCCAUCUGGUGGGCUUCACGGUGACCACCUGGAGGUCUGCAACAAGGCCCCUCUCUCUUUCGGGCGUGGAGGAGACUCUGUGUCCGGGGAAUAGACACUUUGACCCCUCCCACAACCUGCCCCAUUCUACAGAUGAGGAAACAGGCCCAGAGAGGUGGAGUCAGGUGUCCCAAGCCACACCACCUGAAGUGACAGAGCCGGGAUUCCAACCCGGUGGCCCUUGCCUACACCCGGUGCACCGGCUGUUCUGUGGGGUUGCGUGUGCACCAGCCACAGUGCCCGACAGCCCUUACCUUAUCUGGGUGGAAGAGGAUGUUGCUUAGGCCCUGCAGACUCAACACGCGGACCUCAGGGCUGGGGUCGUGGAGGCCUUGUGCCAGCACGGUCAAGGCAGCUUGUUUGGGAAGCACCUCCAGCAGGACAGGGCUGUAGAGGAACUGAGGUGGCCCCCGGGAGGGCAGGCAGGUCACUCUUUUUUAGGCGCCUGCAUCUGUGUUGAGGGGUGGGGCUCUAGGACCGGAGUCCGGUGGGAGUUUCAGGGAGGGAGGCUGACCAGUACCCUCUGGGUAUCUUGGUGAACAAGUAUCCUGGUUCAACCCCUCAAUGUACAGCUGGGGAAACUGAGCCCCAGAAAGGGAAAGGGCCUUGCCUAAGGUCACACAGCGAGGCAAGGCCUCACUUUUAUCAAGAGCCGAGCUUGUGGGGCACCUGGGGGUAGAGCGCCCAUGGAGGGCGGCCUAGGCAGCUGGUGGGUGGGAGCUGGCAUGAGGCUUUCGCUUGGGUUCCCCUACUAGUGUCAGUUACGGAAACAGCACCCUCCUCGCCCCAGUCCCACCCCUGCCUGAGCUCACAGCUGCAAAGUGUGCCACACCCAGCGGCAUCUGCUUCUACCCAUUCCCCUUUGGCUUUACCCUGAGUCCCACAGGCAGGACAGGGCUGAAGUUGGAGCCUAGACUUGCCUGAGUCUGCACCUAGUGCCCCUGCAACUCUGCAGGGAUUGUGCCAGGGAGGGCCGAGUGGGGAGACAGGUCCCCAAAGUGUGCAGCCCCCCUCCAAGGGCUGGGAGUGGGAAGGCAGGAGUACGAGGGGGUCCGUCUGGGCAGCCUCCCCAGUCAGGGUGAGCUCUGGCAUGGGUUCUGCUGGGGUGUCAAGGAGGCUGGAGAAGGAGGCUCAGACAUCUGAGGUGCUCUCUGCUGGCCUGCAUCCCUACCUUGGUGAGGAUGAGGAUGGCCACCUUCCUCUCACGCUCCUGUGGGCUCUGCAGGCUGGGCAGCAGCUGACGCAGCACCGCUGGGAUCUGCCUGCAGUGGUUCUGCACCAUGGCCCUGCAGGGGUGGGCCUGGGCUGGUGGUCACUGCUCAGAGCCCACCCUCCUGCCCCCACCCAUCUCAUCAGGGCUGGCAUCCCGGAGGGUCCCAACGUGGCAGGCACGUUCCCACUUCCUUUCCACCCACUGGCUGCCCACUGCGUGCCAGGCUUGGGUUGGACAUGCAGGAGACAGAGAAGCAGGCACAGCCCUUGUUCCCUAGGAGGUCACAGGCCAGGGUGAGGGCCGGGGGAAGACACUGCAUCAACAGGCUCUGAGCGUGUGCCUGUGACCGGGGGCAGGGGGCCGUGUCCUGUCACUGCAGUCCAGAUACCCAGUCCCCUGGAUGGGCGUGGCCUGAAGCAGGCUGCCUCGACCUGCCCUGGCCCCACCGUACCUGGCAAGGAGGCCCACGCCCUUCGGGUAGGUGUGGAUGGUGGUGAAGAGCUCCCAGGAUCCCUGCAGCUCCAGGUGGGCAAAGUCAUGCCAGUGCCCCGUGGUGGACAGCAGGCUCUUCAGUGCCUCCAGUGACGUGCUGCAGCUGAGCAGAGGGGGCUUAGGGCUUGCCUCAGGCCACAAGCAGCCCCCUGGGCCACCCCCUGCCCUGGGAAGGGUGCCCACCUGACCCAGAUAGAAAGGCACGUUCUGGUUCCUAUGCCUGGCGUCACUGAGGCCCCCUGGGGCUACUCCCUCCUGCCCUGUUUUACGCGGAAAUGCUGGGACCCAGGAUUGGCGGAGCCGGGCCGAGCAUGGGGAGGCAGCAUGUGCCCAGUCAGACCCCGGGCCUUGCUUGGGCAGGAGACCAGGGGGUGCCCUUCUAGGGAGGGGCACUCUGCUGAAGGGCACCUGCCCUUCAGCUCAAGGAUGGCAGCAUUUAAAUAUGGGCCAAGAGUAUGGAGGGUAGCAGCGGGCGAGGGCGUGGGAGACUCAGGGCGUGUGGCGUAGCGGAGCCCAGAGAAGUGUCCAUUCUCCACUCCUGAGACUCCUGCCCUCAGAGGACAUGGAGAAACCCGCGGCACUGGCCCUCGCUUGUGAGUGACGGAGAAACCCGCGGCACUGGCCCUCGCUUGUGAGUGACGGAGAAACCCGCGGCACUGGCCCUUGCUUGUGAGUGACGGAGAAACCCACGGCACCGGCCCUCGCUUGUGAGUGCACGGCUUGUGGUGUCACCGUGUGCUUGGUAGUUGCCAGGUACCAUGGAUGGUGCCUCACCUGCCCAGCCUGAGGUGGCCCUCUACUGUCGCUGUCCUUCAGCAGAGGAGGGAGCAGUCCUGUCACACAGCCUGGGCAAGGGCACAGAGGUGGGGUCAAGCUGGGCCCUGGCUCCAAACCUGCCAGUGAUGUCACUGUCACAGGAUGUCACUGUCACUGAACGCAGUCCCUGGGGCACAGGUAGAAAGCCCCAGAAUGCAGGCCCAUGAAACAUGAGAUGGCCCUGGCUUGCUGGCCUGUCUCACUGUUCCAGCCACACACCCCUGGCCCGGCCCCUGUGCUCGGUCAGUGUAAGUGCAUCACCCUGGAUGUGUGAGCAUGCCUGGACGAGGCUGUCAGCUUGGACCAGGCACGUUUCUGAGCAGAUUUGCAAAACCAAGUGUCAAAUGAUGAAAUGCCAUCCGUGAAAGUUCUGACAGUGCCAAUCCAAAUGCCAGCUGGCUUGUCCUCUCACCCCAAGCUGUGUCAUAAAAAAAGGCAGCAUUUUCCAGGUCACUGGUCUCAGCCAUAAUGCGACAAUGGUUUUCAGAAGAAGGGGACUUGGUGGGGGGAGUGGCAUUUUGUUUGCUCUGGGAGGACUCCAGAAGCUUCUGGUCCUGUGACUUCUUGGGCACUGUAUUGGCUUGUUCUUCAAGAUUGCCUUGUCCCUGCAGCCCCAGCAGGGCUUCCAGAAAGAUGGGCUGAUUCAGCAUUCUUGGGAAUCCAUGCCCAACUCCCCUGCAGGUCCAUAGAACACAAAACCACCUCCAGCCCAGGACCCCCGGCAAUGCUCAAGGACAUGUGUCUCCUGAAAUCCAUACGCAGUCCCAAGACCGAUGAAGGUGGAGCCCCUUGAGUCUCUGCCUCGCUGUGGACUCAAGGAACCAUCCUCCGUUCCUGCUGGUCUCAACGUCGUUGCCUGCCUGCAGCCUCUUUGGACACUUGGCAUCCCAGUGAUGCCUGCCCCAUACUCGACCAACCGUCCUUUCCCCACUCUGGCCCCGGAGAGGGCAAAGGCACCUGAGAAAGAGGAGGCAAAGCCCCUCUGCUUUCCAUACUCCUCCCCAGCCUGAGGGUCCAUGAGACCCUCUUCCCUCUCCCAUUACCUCCUCCUCUUCUGGUUUUAUUUUUAAUUGUGGUAAAAUGCACAUCUCAUACAAUUUACCGUUUUAAGUGUACAGGUCAGUGGCAUUGAGCAUAUUCAUAAUAUUAUGCAACCAUCACCACCAUCCAUCUCCAGAACAUUCUCAUCUUCCCACACUGAAACUCUGUCCCCAUUAAACAUUAACUCCCCAUUCUCCCUCCAUCCAGCCCCUGGCACCCAGCAUUCUACUUUCUGUCUCUGUAGAUUUGGCUACUCAUGGACCUUAAGUAGGUGGACUCACACAGUAUUUGACUCAGCAGAAUGUGCUCAAGGUUCAUCCAUGUUGUAGCAUCAGAAUUUCCUUCCUUUUCAAGGCUGAAUAGUAUUCCAUUGUAUGGAUGGACCACACUGCUUAUUCUAAUUCACCCAUUGAUGAACACUUGUGUUGCUUCUACCUUUUGGUUAUCAUAACACUGCUGUGAGCAGGGCGUACAAAUAUCUGUCCCAGGUGCCUGCUUUCCUUUCUUUUGGGUGUACACCCAUUAGUGGAAUUCCUGGGCCAUAUGGUAAUUCUAUAUUUAAUUUUUGGAGGAACUUCCAUACUCUGUUCCAAAGCAGCUGCACCGUUUUACAUUCCCACCAACAGUGCACAAGGCUUCUGAUUUCUCCACAUCCUCGCCAACACUCAUUUUCUGAUUUUUUUUUGGACAGUAGCCAACCUAAUGGGUGUGAAGUUCCUCCUCUUCUUUUGAUCACAAGCCUUUGGCCCCAAAUCCCCAGGGGACAGAGGGAAAGAUGAAGAUGAGAUGAGGGUGAGAAUGAUGAGUGCCUUCGAAAUAAAGAGAAACGAUGUAGCCCAUUUGAAUUAAAUAGAGUUGGCCCACAUGGAUGACGUGUGAGAACAAUGAGAAUUCCUUUGUGGGGCAGGGUGGAGACUGGCUGGAGGAGGACCCAGCUGAGAACUGACCAACGCAGGAAACAUCUCUAAGGAAAAGGCUUUGUUAGUGGAGGAGCAGGGGAGAGGGAGGCCCCUCUGGCAGGCCUGGCAGCACCUGUUGCAGUCCUGCCCAGGGAAGGGUGCCCUGCUCAACCCCACUCGCUGCUUCCUGGUCCCAGAGGCCUGUCCAUCUAAGCAGGACAUGAGAACUUCAGAGGCCCAGGGCUGGCCCCAUCAGGCCUCAAGACUCCCCUGCUGCCCCAUGGUGUCCUGUGCCGCCCCCACCGUUUUGGGCAUGCAGAGAGAGUGGCUACUCAGCACUGCUCAUCCAGUUGUCCUUCUGGGCCCCUGUCCCCACCUUGACAGUGCCACAGCAGCCUGGCAGGGACCUCAGACCGUGAGCCACCGGGAUACACCUGGGUGUCACUCUGCUCUCAGGCCUCCCUUUCUCCCUGGCUCCGUGGUGGUGCUGGGUGGCAUGGCUGCUGGUUUGGCAACCGGAGCCUGGGCCCCUUCGCGGUGGUCGAAGAGGCCUGGGCCCAUGCCGCUCCCUGGAGGGCGUGGGAGCCAGGCCUGGCCAGUCAGAGCCGCACAGGCCCCUGUGGCCAAGGUGAUUGGUUCAGGAUUGGGUAUGUGAGCAAAGCUAGGCCAAUCAGAGCCCAGGACUGUGCCCGUGGUGAGAGUUUUUUCUCUUGGGGCUGCGGGAGCUGCCGGGGCCACCUCCAGGGCUCCAGGAGAACCUGCCCGGAGCGGCCUGAGCAGAAACCACCCGUGGCCCCGCGCGAGGCAGAAGUCCCUGCUAUAUGGGGAGCCUGAGAGAGACAGACAGACGUCCCAGCUGUAUGGGGAGCCCGAGAGAGAGACACGUCCUUGCCGGUGGGGGAACCCACGAGAGACAGAUGUCUCAGCUGUAUGAGGAGCCCCCAGUGAGACAGACGUCCCAGCUGUAUGAGGAGCCCGAGAGAGACAGACAGACGUCCCAGCUGUAUGGGGAGCCCGAGAGAGACAGACAGACGUCCCAGCUGUAUGAGGAGCCCGAGAGAGACAGACGUCCCAGCUGUAUGAGGAGCCCGAGAGAGACAGACGUCCCAGCUGUAUGAGGAGCCCGAGAGAGACAGACAGACGUCCCAGCUGUAUGAGGAGCCCGAAAGAGACAGACAGACGUCCCAGCUGUAUGAGGAGCCCGAGAGAGACAGACGUCCCAGCUGUAUGAGGAGCCCGAGAGAGACAGACGUCCCAGCUGUAUGAGGAGCCCGAGAGAGACAGACGUCCCAGCUGUAUGAGGAGCCCGAGAGAGACAGACAGACGUCCCAGCUGUAUGAGGAGCCCGAAAGAGACAGACAGACGUCCCAGCUGUAUGAGGAGCCCGAGAGAGACAGACGUCCCAGCUGUAUGGGGAGCCCGAGAGAGAUAGACAGACGUCCCAGCUGUAUGGGGAGCCCAAGAGAGAUAGACAGACGUCCCAGCUGUAUGGGGAGCCCAAGAGAGAUAGACAGACGUCCCAGCUGUAUGAGGAGCCCGAGACAGACAGAUGUCCCAGCUGUAUGAGGGGCCUGAGAGAGACAGACGUCCUUGCUGGUGGGGGAACCCGCGAGAGACAGAUGUCUCAGCCGCAUGGGGAGGUCCCAGUGAGACAGACAGACAUUCCCGCUGUAUGGGGAGCCCCCAGUGAGACAGACAGACAUUCCCGCUGUAUGGGGAGCCCCCAGUGAGACAGACAGACAUUCCCGCUGUAUGGGGAGCCCCCAGUGAGACAGACAGACGUCCUUGCUGUAUGGGGAGCCCCCAGUGAGACAGACAGACGUCCUUGCUGUAUGGGGAGCCCGCGAGAGACAGACAGAUGUCUCUGGCUCUUCGGGACCUUCCAGUCUAUGGGUGAGGGCAGUAAAGCAGGUAAAAGGCGCAGAUCACAGAUGGUAGCUGAUGGCGGGGCUGCGGCGAGAAUAAAGCAGCAGAGGGUGGGAGGCGCCGAAGGGGCUGCUAUUUUGGAGGGUGGUGGGGGAGGCCUCAGUGAGGUGCGGGUGAGCAGAGCCUGCAGAGACAGGAUGGCUGGGGGAAGAACAUUCCAGCAGGGGGAGGAGCAGACGGGGUGAGGCUUUCUCCCAACCCUCCCACGUUCCGGGAGGAGAAGGUUUUAUUAGCUUAUUAGGAAAGAUUCAUGCAUUUUGCAUGGUUGAACUGAAUAAAAAAGGAACUUCGUGCACAUUUGAAUUCGGAGGCAAGAUGAGAAGAAGUGGCAUUUUUUUUAAGUGACUUGCCUUGGGGAGAGCUGUUAAAACUGACAAAUUGCGUGACGCACAUCAUAAUACAAACAAAUGAAAAGAGUUGGCCCCAGCGGUUUUUAGACUUGCUUAUUGGAUUUUUGGAAAUAUGACCUGGUGCAGAGGGAAGAUGAAGGCAGGCAGCCCUACUGAGGCCAGAAUACGGUGGGCGGGGGAGCGGGCAACUGGCCGUGAUGUCAGCCUGAGCAUGUGCUGAGGACCAAUGAGAUGCCCAAGAGGGCAUGGAAAGGCAUCUGCCCCAUGGGUGAGCCCAGUUCGCCUCUGCAUGGACAUGCUGUGUGGCCCAGGGGAAGCCUCUGACCCUCUCUGAGCCUCAGUUGCCUCAUCUGUAGAGCAGGGACAACGACAUUCAUCUCGAGUCCUCGCAGGAAACCCACUGGGAUAUAAUCUCUGCUGCUCCCCAUCCUGCCUCAUGCCCCAGGAAGCUGACCUGUAUACACUGCAUCAAGAAGCUCUCUUGACCUUUGGCUUCCAGUUGACUUGGCUAAUGAACUUGCCAGACACCUGAACCUUCAACAGCCACCACCCUGACCAGUCAGCAGUCCUCACCACCCACCAGCAAGAGGAUCCCGACUUGCUGAAGGCUCAGA